rfam:Aedes albopictus isolate Foshan contig68500, whole genome shotgun sequence.
CCUUCGAUAGCUCAGUUGGUAGAGCGGUGGACUGUAGAUCAAAACAAACAGAAGUAGUAAUCCAUAGGUCGCUGGUUCAAAUCCGGCUCGAAGGA